GAUGAAGAACGUAGCGAAAUGCGAUAAGUAGUGUGAAUUGCAGAAUUCAGUGAAUCAUCGAAUCUUUGAACGCACAUUGCGCCCUUUGGUAUUCCAAAGGGCAUGCCUGUUCGAGCGUCAUUUGUACCCUCAAGCUUUGCUUGGUGUUGGGCGUCUUGUCUCUAGCUUUGCUGGAGACUCGCCUUAAAGUAAUUGGCAGCCGGCCUACUGGUUUCGGAGCGCAGCACAAGUCGCACUCUCUAUCAGCAAAGGUCUAGCAUCCAUUAAGCCUUUUUUUCAACUUUUGACCUCGGAUCAGGUAGGGAUACCCGCUGAACUUAAGCAUAUCAAGCGGAGGA
rnacentral:misc_RNA from 1 species